rnacentral:rRNA from 1 species
AGAGUUUGAUCCUGGCUCAGGACGAACGCUGGCGGCGUGCUUAACACAUGCAAGUCACGGGGGGUAGCAAUACCAACCGGCGAACGGGUGCGUAACACGUGAGCAAUCUGCCGAUUUCUGGGGGAUAGCCGGCCCAACGGCCGGGUAAUACCGCAUACGCUCAUUGAGAGGAGUCUCUUGAUGAGGAAACCUCCGGGGGAAAUCGAGGAGCUCGCGGCCUAUCAGCUAGUUGGCGGGGUAAUGGCCCACCAAGGCUCUGACGGGUAGCUGGUCUGAGAGGAUGGCCAGCCACAUUGGGACUGAGAGACGGCCCAGACUCCUACGGGAGGCAGCAGUGGGGAAUCUUGCGCAAUGGUCGAAAGACUGACGCAGCGACGCCGCGUGUGGGAUGACGCCUUUCGGGGUGUAAACCACUGUUGCCCGGGACGAACCGCCUUUUUCGAGAGGCUUGACGGUACCGGGUGAGGAAGCACCGGCUAACUCUGUGCCAGCAGCCGCGGUAAUACAGAGGGUGCGAGCGUUGUCCGGAAUCACUGGGCGUAAAGGGCGCGUAGGCGGCUGGGGAAGUCCAGGGUGAAAGCUCGCGGCUCAACUGCGAGUCGGCCAAGGAUACUCCUCAGCUCGAGUCGACUAGAGGCAGAUGGAAUUCCGGGUGUAGCGGUGGAAUGCGUAGAGAUCCGGAAGAACACCGGGUGGCGAAGGCGGUCUGCUGGGGUCGAACUGACGCUGAGGCGCGACAGCGUGGGGAGCAAACAGGAUUAGAUACCCUGGUAGUCCACGCCGUAAACGAUGGGCACUAUGUGCUUGGGGGAGCGACCCCUUGAGUGCCGGCGCUAACGCAUUAAGUGCCCCGCCUGGAGAGUACGGCCGCAAGGCUGAAACUCAAAGGAAUUGACGGGGCCCGCACAAGCGGUGGAGCAUGUGGUUUAAUUCGACGCAACGCGAAGAACCUUACCUAGGCUUGACAUGCAUGGGAAA